rnacentral:rRNA from 1 species
UCUACGGGAGGCUGCAGUGGGGAAUAUUGGACAAUGGGGGGAACCCUGAUCCAGCGACGCCGCGUGAGUGAAGAAGUAUUUCGGUAUGUAAAGCUCUAUCGGCAGGGAAGAAAGAAAUGACGGUACCUGACUAAGAAGCCCCGACUAACUACGUGCCAGCAGCCGCGGUAAUACGUGGGGGGCAAGCGUUAUCCGGAUUUACUGGGUGAAAAGGGGGCGUAGACGGCGAGGCAAGUCUGAGGUGAAAGGCGGGGGCGCAACCCCCGGACUGCUUGGGCAACGGUAUGGCUGGAGUGGAGGAGAGGUAAGUGGAAGUGCGAGUGUAGCGGUGAAAUGCGUAGAUAUUAGGAGGAACACCAGUGGCGAAGGCGGCUUACUGGACUGUAACUGACGUUGAGGCUCGAAAGCGUGGGGAGCAAACAGGAUUAGAUACCCUGUAGUC